rnacentral:rRNA from 1 species
AUUGAACGCUGGCGGCAGGCCUAACACAUGCAAGUCGAACGGUAACAGAAAGCAGCUUGCUGCUUUGCUGACGAGUGGCGGACGGGUGAGUAAUGUCUGGGAAACUGCCUGAUGGAGGGGGAUAACUACUGGAAACGGUAGCUAAUACCGCAUAACGCCGCAAGACCAAAGAGGGGGACCUUCGGGCCUCUUGCCAUCGGAUGUGCCCAGAUGGGAUUAGCUUGUUGGUGGGGUAACGGCUCACCAAGGCGACGAUCCCUAGCUGGUCUGAGAGGAUGACCAGCCACACUGGAACUGAGACACGGUCCAGACUCCUACGGGAGGCAGCAGUGGGGAAUAUUGCACAAUGGGCGCAAGCCUGAUGCAGCCAUGCCGCGUGUAUGAAGAAGGCCUUCGGGUUGUAAAGUACUUUCAGCGGGGAGGAAGGGAGUAAAGUUAAUACCUUUGCUCAUUGACGUUACCCGCAGAAGAAGCACCGGCUAACUCCGUG